AAUCCAUAGGUUAAUGAGGCGAACCGGGGGAACUGAAACAUCUAAGUACCCCGAGGAAAAGAAAUCAACCGAGAUUCCCCCAGUAGCGGCGAGCGAACGGGGAGGAGCCCAGAGCCUGAAUCAGCAUGUGUGUUAGUGGAAGCGUCUGGAAAGGCGCGCGAUACAGGGUGACAGCCCCGUACACAAAAGCGCAUGUGCUGUGAGCUCGAUGAGUAGGGCGGGACACGUGGUAUCCUGUCUGAAUAUGGGGGGACCAUCCUCCAAGGCUAAAUACUCCUGACUGACCGAUAGUGAACCAGUACCGUGAGGGAAAGGCGAAAAGAACCCCGGCGAGGGGAGUGAAAAAGAACCUGAAACCGUGUACGUACAAGCAGUGGGAGCCCCACCACCAAAGCAUUUGCUGUACCGCGUUGACGGAG
rnacentral:rRNA from 2 species